AUUGAACGCUGGCGGCAGGCCUAACACAUGCAAGUCGAACGAGUGGCGGACGGGUGAGUAAUGACUGGGAAAUUGCCUGAUGGAGGGGGAUAACUAAUGGACACGGUAGCUAAUAACGCCUACCAUCAGAUGUGCCCAGGUGGGAUGAGCUUGUUGGUGGGGUAACGGCUCACCAAGGCGACGAUCCCUAGCUGGUCUGAGAGGAUGACCAGCCACACUGGAACUGAGACAAGGUCCAGACGCCUACGGGAGGCAGCAGUGGGGAAGAUUGCACAAUGGGCGCAAGCCGGAUGCAGCCAUGCCGCGUGUAUGAAGAGGGCCUUCGGGUUGUAAAGUACUUUCAGCGGGGAGGCGUUACCCGCAGAAGAAGCACCGGCUAACUCCGUGCCAGCAGCCGCGGUAAUUC
rnacentral:rRNA from 1 species